rnacentral:rRNA from 1 species
CCUACGGGAGGCAGCAGUGAGGAAUAUUGGUCAAUGGCCGGAAGGCUGAACCAGCCAUGCCGCGUGAAGGUCAGUGCCCUAUGGGCGUUAAACUUCUUUUGUUCGGGGGCAAUACUGGUCACGUUUGACCCGCCGAGAGUACCGUCCUAAUCAGCAUCGGCUAACUCCGUUCCAGCAGCCGCGGUAAUACGGGGGAUGCAGGCGUUAUCCGGGUUUAUUGGGUUUAAAGGGUGCGUAGGCUGUGAGGUAAGUCAGCGGUGAAAUGCCCCCGCUCAACGGGGGGAAGUGCCAUUGAUACUGCCGUGCUGGAAUGCGGAUGCCGUGGGAGGAAUGUGUGGUGUAGCGGUGAAAUGCAUAGAUAUCACACAGAACACCGAUUGCGAAGGCAUCUCACGAAGCCGCGAUUGACGCUGAUGCACGAAAGCGUGGGUAUCAAACAGGAUUAGAUACCCCAGUAGUC